CCAAACUGUAUUGUCUUCCGCUCGCCGUCUACAAUGGCCGAAUUUGCUCCAAUCUGUUGCCUCUUCACUAUUUGAAGGAGCUAAUGUAUAAGGACGAUCAUGACACACUUAGGCUGACUUGGGGCCUUAGUGACUUAAAAUCAAGCAAGACAAGUUUAAUUUAUGUUCCGUUUUAUGUUUGAACAAAGACAAUGUAAUCACUUUAAUUAAUAAAACCAAACUUUAAGUA